AUUGAACGCUGGCGGCGUGCCUAACACAUGCAAGUCGAGCGGUAACGCGGGAGCAAUCCUGGCGACGAGCGGCGAACGGGUGAGUAACGCUUCGGAAUCUACCCAGUAGUGGGGAAUAACCAACCGAAAGGUUGGCUAAUGCCGCAUACGACCUGAGGGUGAAAGGGGGGGAUCGCAAGACCUCUCGCUAUUGGAUGAGCCGAAGUCGGAUUAGCUAGUUGGUAGGGUAACGGCCUACCAAGGCGACAAUCCGUAGCUGGUCUGAGAGGACGACCAGCCACACUGGGACUGAGACACGGCCCAGACUCCUACGGGAGGCAGCAGUAGGGAAUAUUGGGCAAUGGACGCAAGUCUGACCCAGCCAUGCCGCGUGCAGGAUGAAGGCGUUAUGCGUUGUAAACUGCUUUUAUACAGGAAGAAACGACUCUUGCGAGAGGCAUUGACGGUACUGUAUGAAUAAGCACCGGCUAACUCCGUGCCAGCCGCCGCGGUAAAAC
rnacentral:rRNA from 1 species